ACGCUCGACACCUACGGGAGGCAGCAGUAGGGAAUCUUCCACAAUGGGCGCAAGCCUGAUGGAGCAACACCGCGUGAGUGAAGAAGGGUUUCGGCUCGUAAAGCUCUGUUGUUGGAGAAGAACGUGCGUGAGAGUAACUGUUCACGCAGUGACGGUAUCCAACCAGAAAGUCACGGCUAACUACGUGUCAGCAGCCGCAGUAAUCUGAGCGGGCUGGCAAGGC
rnacentral:rRNA from 1 species